rnacentral:rRNA from 1 species
UCAAGCGCGAAAAGGGCGUUUGGUGAAUGCCUUGGCAGUAAGAGGCGAUGAAGGACGUGAUACUCUGCGAUAAGUUAUGGGGAGCUGAGAAUAAGCUUUGAUCCAUAAAUUUCCGAAUGGGGCAACCCACCUGAUACUUUGUUAUUAAUACUACUUAUUGUAGUGCCGCUUAAGGGUCCGCCCUGAGGUUGCGUUACAUGCGGUGGGGCAUAAUAAUAGGGUAAACCAGGUAUUUAUAACUUGAAUACAUAGGGUUAUAAAAGCAAACCCGGGGAACUGAAACAUCUAAGUACCCGGAGGAAAGGACAUCAAUUAGAUACUCCCCUAGUAGCGGCGAGCGAACGGGGACCAGCCGAGCCAUGAGUGUGACUAGAAUGUGUUGGAAAGCACAACCAAAGUGGGUGACAGUCCCGUAUAGGAAGCAUGAUUGGACGUAUUAAGUAGGGCGGGACACGUGAAAUCCUGUUCGAAGAUCGGAGGACCACCUCCGAAGGCUAAGUACUCCUUACUGACCGAUAGUGAACCAGUACCGUGAGGGAAAGGUGAAAAGCACCCCGACGAGGGGAGUGAAACAGUUUCUGAAACCGGACGCCUACAAUCAGUUGGAGGGCCCUUGCGGCCUGACAGCGUACCUUUUGUAUAAUGGGUCAUCGACUUAGUGUAUCUAGCAAGCUUAAGCCGUUAGGUGUAGGCGCAGCGAAAGCGAGUCUUAAUAGGGCGAUUGAGUUAGAUGCAUUAGACCCGAAACCGAGUGAUCUAGGCAUGACCAGGUUGAAGGUUGGGUAACACCAACUGGAGGACCGAACCCACAUCUGUUGAAAAAGAUCGGGAUGAGUUGUGCCUAGGGGUGAAAGGCCAAUCAAACUCGGAGAUAGCUGGUUCUCCGCGAAAUCUAUUUAGGUAGAGCGUCAUCCGAAUACCCCGGGGGGUAGAGCACUGGAUGGGUAAUGGGGCCCCACAGGCUUACUGAUCCUAACCAAACUCCGAAUACCCGGGAGUAAUAGAUGGCAGACACACUGCGGGUGCUAACGCCCGUAGUGAAAAGGGAAACAACCCUGACCGACAGUUAAGGCCCCUAAUUCAUGGCUAAGUGGGAAAGCAGGUGGGACGACCAAAACAACCAGGAAGUUGGCUUAGAAGCAGCCAUCUUUUAAAGAUAGCGUAACAGCUCACUGGUCUAAUUAAGUUGUCCUGCGGCGAAGAUGUAACGGGGCUCAAGCCAUGAGCCGAAACUUCGGAUGCAUUUAAUGCAUGGUAGCGGAGCGUAGUGUGACAUAGUUCCAUGCGUCCUUCGUUUUAUAGCGGACUGCCCAGGCUUUCGAGCCUGUGUGGAGGCGCGUAAAAUACUGGACGCAAGGAGCUUUCUGUGAAGCCGGCCUGUGAGGGAUCCGGUGGAGAGAUCACUAGUGAGAAUGAUGACAUGAGUAACGACAAAGGGGGUGAGAGACCCCCUCGCCGAAAAUCCAAGGGUUCCUGCUUAAAGCUAAUCUGAGCAGGGUAAGCCGGCCCCUAAGCCGAGGGCGAAAGCCGUAGGCGAUGGGAACCAGGUUAAUAUUCCUGGGCCAGGAGGAAGUGACGGAUCAUGAAGAUUGUUGGAUCAGGCGUAGUUGCCCCAGCAGUUAAGUGGUUCCUGGAAAUAGCCCUCCAUCAGACCGUACCCUAAACCGACACAGGUGGAUAGGUAGAGUAUACCAAGGCGCUUGAGAGAACUAUGUUGAAGGAACUCGGCAAAAUACCUCCGUAAGUUCGCGAGAAGGAGGCCCGGUUUCUAGGCAACUGGAAGCUGGGGGCACAAACCAGGGGGUGGCGACUGUUUACUAAAAACACAGGGCUCUGCGAAGUCGCAAGACGACGUAUAGGGUCUGACGCCUGCCCGGUGCCUGAAGGUUAAAAGGAGGGGUGAGAGCUCCGAAUUGAAGCCCAGGUAAACGGCGGCCGUAACUAUAACGGUCCUAAGGUAGCGAAAUUCCUUGUCGGG